rnacentral:rRNA from 1 species
GACAGAGGAGCCAAGCGUUGUCCGGAGUAACUGGGCGUAAAGCGCACGCAGGUGGUUCUGUGCGUGGGGUGUGAAAGCUCUCGGCUUAACUGAGAGAGGCCACCUCAUACGGCAGAGCUCGAGCCCGUGAGAGGUCCACGGAAUUGCCGGUGUAGUGGUGAAAUGCGUAGAGAUCGGAAAGAACACCAACGGCGAAAGCACUCUGCUGGGCCGACACUGACACUGAGAGACGAAAGCUAGGGGAGCGAAUGGG